rnacentral:rRNA from 1 species
ACGAACGCUGGCGGCGUGCUUAACACCUGCCAGUCGUACGGUAAGGCCCUUUCGGGGGUACACGAGUGGCGAACGGGUGAGUAACACGUGAGUAACCUGCCCACAACUUUGGGAUAACGCUAGGAAACUGGUGCUAAUACUGGAUAUGUGCUCCUUCUGCAUGGUGGGGGUUGGAAAGCUCCGGCGGUUGUGGAUGGACUCGCGGCCUAUCAGCUUGUUGGUGGGGUAGUGGCCUACCAAGGCGGCGACGGGUAGCCGGCCUGAGAGGGUGACCGGCCACAGUGGGACUGAGAUACGGCCCAGACUCCUACGGGAGGCAGCAGUGGGGAAGAUUGAACAAUGGGCGCAAGCCUGAUGCAGCAACGCCGCGGGCGGGAGGACGGCCUUCGGGUUGUAAACCGCUUUCAGCAGGGACGAAGCUUUUUGUGACGGUACCUGCAGAAGAAGCACCGGCUAACUACGUG